UCUGCGCUGGGCCGGCUUGAGGGUGGCGGUCCUGAGGCGGGCAGGCUGCUGAGUUGCGGCCCGAGGCGCCUACGUGGGGAUGACCAGCCCGUGGGCGUUGGCGCUGACUCCUAGGCGCCGCUGGUGGCCCCGCGCGCGGCCCUCCCUCCCGUCCUGCCCCUCUCGGGGCUCCUCCUUGGUCCCCGCGCCAUGGCGUGUCCGCGUUGACCGCUGUCUUCGCUUUCGAGCUGUGCUGAUCGCGAACGCUUGCUGCGCAGUCCGUGGUGGCGUCGAGGCACCUUUCUCGUGCCUUUACGUGUGUUCACUCCUUUGCUUUAAAAAAUAGCCCUAGAAGUACACAUCGUCGGCCCCGAAGGAGCCCCAGCAGCCAUGUCGGACCGCGAGGUGACCUUGGAGGGCGGGAGGACGGACGAGGGGCCUGGUGGAGCUGGACUGAGAGGGCCCCGCCGGCGUCCUGAAGGUGUUGAUACCAUGUCAACAUUCUCGUACCCCAAACUCAGUCGCAGCAUCUGCUUCUGGAGAAACCAUUCUGCAGCAUUAAACCUGGUGGGAAGAUGGGAUUCGAGGCUGCAUCACUCACCAGUGGUGAAGUAGGAGGGUGAACUAGUGAAAUGGAAUCCACGAGUGGGUGAAGUAUCAGACAUUUCACAUAUGGUGGACGGAGUAGAUUAAAGGAAGGAAAAGGGGAUUGGAUAGCUAUUGCUCAGUGCCGCCAAGUCUCUUAAGAAUAGUGGUCAGCUGAAGGCAAGCAACAAACAGUUGUAAGCCAGUGAGUCUGUCCCGUUGCAUAUAGAGAAGCUCCAUUUACUGCAGCAGGUCAAAGACAAGAACCAGGCCCAGGAAUUAACAUCCCUGUUUGACUGAACUCCAAAAAUAGCAAAACACCCAAACAAGGCAAUACUCUUCCACUAAGUUUGGAUCCCUGCUAAGAAAAGAUGAGGCCGGGCACAGUGGCUCACACCUGUAAUCCCAGCACUUUGGGAGGCCGAGGAGGGAAGAUUGUUUGAGUCCAGGAGUUCAAGACCAGCUUGGGCAACAUGACAAAACCCCAUCUCUACUGAAAACACAAAAAAUUAGCCGGGCAUGGUGGCCACGGCUGUGGUCCCAGCUACUUGGGAGGCCAAGGUGAGUGGAUCACCUGAGUCCUGGAACUCAGGGCUGUAGUGGGCUGUGACUGCACCACUGCACUCCAGCCUGGGCAACAGGAGUGAGACCCUGUCUUUAAAAAAAAAAAAAGCCCGUCAUACAUGGGUUGGAGAUAACUUGGGUAGAUGCCUUCAAAGGUUUUGACUCCCCAAACUGCCUUAAACCUUUUUUUUUGUAGACAGUGUCUCACUCUAUUGCCCAGGCUGGAGUGCAGUUGCUGGAUCAUGGCCCACUGUAGCCUCAACUUCCUGGGCUCAAACGAUCCUACCACCUUAGCCUCCUAAGUAACUGGGACUACAGGCAUGUGUCACCGUGCCCACAUAACAUUUUUUAUUAUUUGUAGAGGCAAGGUCUUGCUAUGUUGCCCCGGCUUGUCUCAAACUCCUAGGCUCCAGUGAGCCAUCACACCUGGCCUGCCUUGAACCUGAAGCCUGUCGGGGUGGCUCACCUCUCCUACUAACCUGGCACUACUCCUCCUCCCUCCCCCCACUUACUGCACAGUAGAUAUAUAAUUGUGGUUGUUUCUUUUGCAUUAUUCAGCUGGAAACAAUGAGAUAGAAAAGAGAAUAUAGCUCCCUCCCCCUCAAAAGAACUGUGUUAUUAGUUUGCUGGAGCUUCAGUAACAAACUGGGCAGACAUUUAUUGUCUCCGAGUUCUGGAGGCUAGAAGUCUUGAGAUCAAAGUGUUCACAGGGUUGAUUCCUUCUGGGGCUGGGAGGGAGAAUCUGUCUCAUGCCUCUCUCCCAGAUUCUGGUGGUUUGCUGGCAGUCUUUGGUUCCUUGGCUUAUAGAGGCAUUGUCCCAGUCCUGCCUUUAUAUUCACAUGGUGAUCUUGUUGUGUGUGUCUCUCCAGACGAAGGCAUAAAUAACACAUCAUUGACAAAGGUCAUUAGACAUGGGCUUCUUUUUAGAAGGACACCAGUCAUACUGAUUAGGGCCCAUUCUAAUGAGCGCAUCUUAACUUGUCUACAAAGACCCAUUUCCAAAUAAUGUCACGUUCAUAUUUACCAGGGAUUAGGGCUUCAGCAUCUUUUGAGGGGGACACACUUUAGCCCAUAACAAGCUGUACCACCCAGCCAACAUGUACUGACAGGAGCUGGGAAAGUUUGGGGCUGGAUUAUGAGGGUGCUUGAUGAAGGGAGCUGGAAUGUAAACUUGCAUAGAUGUGUUUAUUGAAAUACGCGAUUUAGCACCUUGGCAAAGACUGGCUGCAGACUUCCUGCAAGGAUGGCUCCUAGAAUGGUGGUAUAGCUACUGCUACCUAACAAAUUACUCCACACUUAGUGGCUUAAAACAAGAAUCAUUUAUUAUCUCUAGGUUACUGUGGGUCAGACAUAGUGGGGAUUGGUUAUCUCUAUUCCACAGUGUCAGGCCUCAGCUGGAGCAGUUCAGAGGCUAGAGGUUGGAAUGAGUGAAGGUUCAUCUGCUCGAAUGUCUUGACAGCUGAUACUGGAAAUUGGCUGCAGCCCAGAUUGGGGAUGUCAGCCAGCACACCCUUACAUGGCCAGUCCCUGUGGCCGAGGCUUCCUCACAAUAUGAUGGCUGGAUUCCAAGGGCAAUCUAAAGACAAAGGACAAAAGAAAACUGUAUCCUUUUUGUGAACCAGCCUCAGAAGUUGCAUACCAUCACUUCGGCUACUUCCUCUUUGGAAGAAAUGAGUCACUAAAUCACCCAUAUUCAAAGGGAGAGGAAUUAGGCUUCAUCUUCUAAAGGGAAGAAUAUCAAAAAAUUUGCCAGUAUAUUUUUAAAAUACCACACUUGGAAAAAGCCAUGGGCCAUGGUAAGCAAAACUGAAAUGGCAAAAUUGCUAUGGCAGACAGUGGUGGAAGGGAGUAAAAGGUUCAGGGGUGUGGGCAUGCUGAAAUUUAUAUGCUCCGUGCAUCUAGAAGACAUUCGAGAUGAUCAUAUUCCACAUGAAGGUGUAAAUAACAUAUCAUUUAUAAAGAUCAUUAGACAUAGGAUGAUGAAAGGGGCACUGAUGUCACUAAAAUAUUCAGUGAUGGCUCAUCUCUGUAGGCAAGAAUGACAAUAGAAAGGCUGUUCCAGAACUUGGCUGGGUGAUAGCACUGAGGAUGAUGGGAUCCUAAGACAAAAGAGGCCAUUCUGGGACAUAAUGGGGACCAAAGAAAAAAACCCAAGAAGCCAAAGGCAACACAGCUGACAGAAGUCAGAGGAUUGCAAUUAUAGUACCAGCAGGGUCUGAGUGGCAGCCAAGGGGGCCUCACCUGUAUGGUUAUAGAACUGGUUAAUAAACAUGGCAUCCCUGGAGGCAAAAUAGAUGGGCAGCUAAGAAGGGUACUACUCAGCUGGCAAAAAAAAAAAAAAAUCCUUCCAGGCACGGUGGCCUGUGCCUGUAAUCUCAGCAUUUUGGGAAGCUGAGGUGGGAGGAUCACUUGAGCUCAGGAGUUCAAGGUUACAGUGAGCUGUGGUUGCACCACUGCACUCCAGCCUGGGCAACGCAGCAAGACUGUCUCAAUUGAAAAAAAUAAAGAUGCUUGUCCCAGUUUUAAAAAAUCAGGAUUCCAUGCCCAGUUUCUGGAACUGAGCCAGUUUUCAGAAAUGGAAACAUUACUUGAGAGGUGGCCAAACACCAAGAAGAAGGACCUAUAACAGUACAAGUACACACAGAAAUGAAUCCCCAGGUACUUUUCCAAAGGCUCUGACAGCAAUUUCUUUUGAUAACUACAUCCUGGAGAAAAGUGAUUAGCCGAACAUUUGGAAGACUUGUGGACACACGGUCUAAAUGACGUCCAGAUGCCUAGAGUAUUAUCCCCUUCUGUUAGAGUGGCUGCAUGUGGUGGCCAGGUAAUUGAUGGAGUUCUGCUAAAGGUCCAGUUUACAGUGGACCCAUAGACCUAGUGGACUGAUCUAGUGAUAUUUUCUUAGCCUUCGAGUGAAUAAUUGGCAUUGACAAACUUGGCAGUUAAUGCUCAUUCCAGGUCCCUGACCUAUAGAGUUAGAUAACAAAAUGGAAAAAGCCAAACAGAAACCUGAAACUGCCCCAUCCCCUACCAAGAUUAUAAAACAAUUGUCCCAGAGUGGGAAUGGCAGAGAUAAGUGCCACUUUUAAGGAUCCAAGUGAUGUAAAGUGGUGGUUACCAACAUUUUUGUUUAAUUUACCAGCAUGACCCCUGCAGAAGUCACAAGGAUCCUGGAGAAUGACAGCCUACUCUAUUUGCUGUCAACAAGUAGUUGUUUUGGGUACUCUGUUGCAAACUCAUCUAGGGAGUAUCCCUGGCCAGGCGCAGUGGCUCAUGCCUGUAAUCCCAGCACUUUGGGAGGACAAGGUGGGCGGGACACAAGGUCAGGAGUUCAGCCUGGCCAACAUAGUGAAACCCUGUCUCUACUAAAAAUAUGAAACAUUAGCCGGGUGUGGUGGUGUGUGCCUGUAAUCCCAGCUACUCGGGAGGCUGAGGCAGGAGAAUCCCAUGAACCUGGGAGGUGGAGGUUGCAGUGAGCCGAGAUCAUGCCAUUGCACUCCAGCCCAGGUGACAGUGUGAGACCCUAUCUCAAAAAAAAAAAAAAAAAAAGUAUCCCUAAUAGCCUCUCUGCCAGAUAUGGUAGAUAGUUGUUGACUAGGUGGAUUUGUUCUUUACCUGUCAGGGAUCAAAAACAUUUUGCAUUUGCGUGGAAUUAAAAUACAGUUUUGCCUGAAGGUUAUAUUCUCUUGCUCUCUGUCAUAAUCCAAAGAGAUCUGGACCACCUAGACAUCCUGUAGAAUAUUACAUUGUUCCUUUACAUCAGUGACAUGUUGAUCAGCCAGAUGAGAAGUGCAGAAGGUCCUGGAGACAGCUGCUCCAGAGAGUGGCAUAUAAACCCUAAAGGAAUCUAGGAGCCUGCUACAUCCUAACAUUUUUAGGGCUCCAGUGGUCAGGGGUGCUCUAGGGCAUCCCUUCCAAAAGCGAAUGAAUUAUUGCUUCUUGCACCUCCUGCCAUUAAGAAAGCAAGACACUUGUUGGUUCUUGAGCUAGUUCUUGCCUCAGGUUCUGGAGGCAGCAUAUCCCACACCUGUGAAUAUUGCUCUGGUCCAGAUACUAGUGGAGUUGGGAGAUUGCCAGUUUUGGAAAGAGCCCAGAACUGGAAAAGUCUGUACAGUAGAUCCGGGUUGUGAUGAAGUAAUGCUAUUGCCUGGGCCAUAUAGUCUAACAGGUAUGUUUUUGGUGUUAUUAAUGGUGCAGAAUGAUGUAAUGUAGAGAUUCUGUCAUGCCACCUGGAGCAGAGAAUUGUAUGCAUUUGGGGGGGGUGUGUGUGUGUAGAUCUAUCUUCUGGUGUUCUGCUUGUCUCUGAUAGAGAUGGAACACCUGACCAUAAGCCACCAGAUGACCAUGCAGCCAGAACUGCCUGUUAAUGUGUUAAACUACCAAGUUAUAACAUCAGUUGGGACCGGCAACAGUCCCUCAUAAUAUGGAAGUAGUAUAUUCAAGAUUGAGCAUGAGAGGCCGGGCACGGUGGCUCAUGCUUGUAAUCCCAGCACUUUGGGAGGCCGAGGUGGGUGGAUCACGAGGUCAGGAGAUCGAGACCAGGUGAAACCCCGUCUCUACUAAAAAUACAAAAAAAUUAGCCGGGCGUGGUGGCGGGCGCCUGUAGUCCCAGCUACUCGGAGAGGCUGAGGCAGGAGAAUGGCGUGAACCCGGGAGGCGGAGCUUGCAGUGAGCCGAGAUUGCGCCACUGCACUCCAGCCUGGGCGACAGAGCGAGACUCCGUCUCAAAAAAAAAAAAAAAGAAAAGAUUGAGCAUGAGAAUGUACAGAGGUUACCAAAUGAGCUGCAGAGCACAGAUGGCACAUGACUUCCAGAGCUGUUGGAUCAGCCACAAUGUCAUUUCACACCUGUGACCAUGUGAGGGGGCCCUUAUAAGCAGUUGACAGGAGUAAAAAUUGUGAGCAUGGUGUAUAAAUGGGUUGGCUCAGUAUGAGUUCAAAAUGAAAAUAGCAGCUACAUUACAGCCUCCUCAGGGGUGACCUUGAAAAAUGGUGAUAAGGGCAUAUCCUCUCGAUAGGCAGAAUUUCAGGCAGAGCUCCUGGUCAUCCACUUUUUUGUGGAAGAAGUAGCCCGAGGUGAGAAUAUACAUGGAGCCAUGGGCAGUGCUAGAGGGCCUGGGUAACUGGUUAAGGGCCUGGAAGGAAAACAAUUGAAAGUUGGAGAUAAGGAGGUGUGUGGUAGAUUUAUGUGGUCAGAUAAAUUGGAAUAGGCACGAAGUACGAUGUUCUUUGUAUACAAUGUUAAUGCCUACGAGAGAGCAUCCAUGAAAGAAGUAUCUUUUAUUGGCUACUGUACUACUGGCAUGAUGGGCACAUGGACAAGGUAGCCAAGGUGAUGGAGUUGGAGGCUGUUCAUGGGCCUAACAGCAUGGGUUCUCUAACCAAAGCCGAUCUACCCAGCUUUGGUUAAUAUCUAGCUGCCCCUGAAUAUCUAACCUGCCAGCAAAAGAGACCAAUGUUAAACUCCCAUUGUGGGUCACUUCGUCAAGGAGCACAAACAUCCAGGUUUACAGAGGUCUUUAGACAUAGUCCCUAUUUUAUAAGGAGAGUUUACUGUAUUGGAACUCUCCCGUCCUGGAAGGGCUGGUGGUUCACUUUUCAUAAGAAUAGUCUCAUAUUCCAGAUACGAGGCUUGUCUUUUCCUACUCACAAGUGUCAGCCAGAAAGGCUUAAGGAGUGCUUGUUUCACUGACAUAACCACAUAACAUUUCAAACGAGAUUCACUUUAUAGCCAAGGAAGUGUAGUGUCCAUGGGCCCUCCUGCCUGGCAGAGCACUGGGACAACAUGCUAAAGGCACAGCCUCCCAAAGGCGUGAGCCACUGAGCCCAGCACUGAAGACUUCCUUGAAACCGUUCUUUGCAAUCUUUCUGUUAUUGACCAGCUGGACAGUCCGUAACUGCACAGGAAUGCUUGCAGAUCAGUAAAUUCAGACACCUUCCUUUCCACAUAAGAUGGACCACCAGCUGUACCCUCCCAAGUUUUGCCAACUGGAAAUCUUCAAAAAUCCAACCCUAAACUAGGUUGUAGUGUAGCAACUAUCUUUUUGUUUGUUUUUUGAGAUGGAGUCUCACUCUGUCUUCCAGGCUGGAGUGCAGUGGCGUGAUCUCAGCUCGCUACAACCUCUGCCUCCCGUGUUCAAGUGAUUCCCCUGCCUCCACCUCCUGAGUAGCUAGGACUACAGGCGCCCACCACCACACCCGGCUAAUUUUUUGUCUUUUAGUAGAGAUAGGAUUUCACCAUGGUGGCCAGGAUAGUCUCAAUCUCCUGACCUCAUGAUCUGCCUGCCUUAGCCUCCCAAAGUGCUGGGAUUACAGGUGUGAGUCACUAGUGUAGCAACUAUUUAUGGUUCAUGCUGCCAUACUGUAUGGAUCCAUUGGUAAAACAUACCUGUAUUUUUUCGUCUUUUGUCAACUGGUCUUAGGGAGCGUCCUGUGAAACCACAGAUGUAGACUGAGGGGGUGUGAAGUAGAAAAGGCGGCAGCAUGCGUUUGGUCACUCACUUGGGUCACAUACUUAUGCCUUCUGAAUCUGUUCAGGCAUAGUUUUGUGUAUACUGUUUCCAGUUUCAAUGAAAUGCUGUUGUUUAUGUCCAGUUUAAUGAUUUGUUGUAUAGGCUAUCUGCUGUGGUAUGCCUCAUGCUUCUGUGGGCUGUAUCGGGAUCAGAGUCUUGGAGGUCUGCAAGUGAGGUGGUAUUGUUGGGUUUUGAGAAUCAGCAUCUCUGUGAGGCACUGUAUUUGUUCUCACACUGCUAUAAGGAAAUGCCUGAGGCCAGGUGUGGUGGCUCAGGCCUGUAAUCCCAGCACUUUGGGAGGCCAAAGCUGGUGGAUCACCUGAGGUCAGGAGUUCAAGACCAGCCUGACCAAUAUGGUGAAACUCUGUCUCUACUAAAAAUACAAAAAUUAGUUGGGCGUGGUGGCAUGCACCUGUAGUCUCAGCUACUUAGGAGGCUGAGACAGGAUAAUUGGUUGAACCCGGGAGGUGGAGGUGGCAGUGAGCCAAGAUUGUGCCAUUUAAGCCUGGUGACAGAGCAAGACUCCAUCUCAAAAAAAAAUGCCUGAGACUGGAUAAUGUAUAAAGAAAAGUAUAUUUGUCUCACGGUUCUGCAGGCUGUACAGUAAGCAUAGUGGCUUUUCCUUUGGGGAGGCCUCAGGAAGCUUCCAAUCAUGGCAGAAGACAAAGUGGGGGAGCAAGGCACUUCACAUGGCUGGAUUAGGAGGCAGAGAGAGGAUGGAGGUGCCACACACUUGAACAGCCAGAUCUCGCGAGAACUCAUUCACUGUCUGAGAACAGCACCCAGGUGUUAAACCAUUCAUGAGAAACUGUCCCCAUGAUCCAAUAACCUCCCACCAGGUCCCACCUCCAACAUUAGGGAUUAGAAUUCAACAUGAGAUUGGGCAGAGACACAGAUCCAAACCAUAUCAGGCAUCCAUCCCAGGUGCAGUCAUUAAAAGUUUUCUAUUCAGGCUUUUGAGGUGAUUGUGGUGGGGCCCCUUCAGGGUGGGGGCUGGACAACAGAGGACCCAACAUGAUUGGAGGGUUAGGAUUUUCAGCCCCACCCUCAAACCUCUGGAGAGGGGAGGGGGUUGGAGUUUAAGUUCAAUCGUGAUCAAUAAUCCAAUCCAUCAUGACUAUGUAAUGAGGCCUUGAUAAAAACUCUUAGCCAAUGAGGCUUAGGGAGAUUCUGGGUUGUGCUGUGUUGUGGGAAGUCAGGGACCCCAAACCGAGGGACCGGCUGGAGCUGUGGCAGAGAGACAUAAAUUGCGAAGAUUUCAUGGACAUUUAUCACUUCCCUAAUAAUACUCUUAUAACGUCUUACGCCUGUCUAAUCUCUUAAUCCUGUUAUCUUUGUAAGCUGAGGAUGUAUGUCACCUCAGGUCCACUGUGAUGAUUGCGUUAACUGUACAAAUUGAUUGUAAAACGUGCAUUUGAUGAGAUCAGGAGAUUGAGACCAUCCUGGCUAACACAGUGAAACCCCGUCUCUACUAAAAAUACAAAAAAUCAGCUGGGCGUGGUGGCAGGUGCUUGUAGUCCCAGCUACUUGGGAGGCUGAGGCAGGAGAAUGGCCUGAACCCGGGAGGCGGAGCUUGCAGUGAGCUGAGAUGGCACCACUGCCCUCCAGCCUGGGUGACAGAGCGAGACUCCAUCUCAAAAAAACAAAAAAAAACGUGUGUUUGAACAAUAUGAAAUCAGUGCACCUUGAAAAUGAACAGAAUAACAGCGAUUUUUAUGGAACGAGGGAAGACAGCCAUAAGGUCUGACUGCCUGCAGGGUCGGGCAAAAAGAGCCAUAUUUUUCUUCCUGCAGAGAGCCUAUAAACGGACGUGCAAGUAGGAGAGAUAUCGCUAAAUUCUUUUCCUAACAUGGAAUAUUAAGACCCUAGGAAAAGAAUUGCAUUCCUUGGGGGAGGUCUAGAAAUGGCUGCUGUGGGAGUGUCUGUCUUACGCAGUUGAGAUAAAGACUGAAAUACGCCCUGGUCUCCUGCAGUACCCUCAGGCUUAUUAGGGUGGGGAAAAAACCACUCCCUGGUAAAUUUGAGGUCAGACGGUUCUCUGCUCUUGAACCCCGUUUUCUGUCGUUUAAGAUGUUUAUCAAGACAAUACAUGCACAGCUGAACAUAGACCCUUAUCAGGAGUUUUUGAUUUUGCUCUUUGCCUUGUGAUCUUUAUUGGCCUCAGAAGCAUGUGAUCUUUGUUCUCCCUUUUGCCCUUUGAAGUAUGUGAUCUUUGUGACCUACUCCCUGUUUGUACAUCCCCUCCCCUUUUAAAGUCCUUAAUAAAAACCUGCUGGUUUUGCGGCUCAGCUGGGCAUCACGGUCCUACCACUAUGUGAUGUCACCCCUGGCGGCCCAGCUGUAAAAUUCC